CAGCUUGGCUCGAGAGGCCUCGGCAAUCUUGAAAGCCGGUCGUGCUGGGGAUACAUCAUUGUAAUUUCUGGUCUUCAACGAGGAAUUUUUAGUAGGCGUGGUAGCAGAGCAUCUCAUCACAUCAUCAU
rnacentral:rRNA from 1 species